rnacentral:misc_RNA from 1 species
GUGGAGGGAGUGAUGGAACUCCAAUAUCAAUAGAGGA